rnacentral:rRNA from 1 species
UGGGGAAUUUUGGACAAUGGGCGCAAGCCUGAUCCAGCCAUGCCGCGUGAGUGAAGAAGGCCUUCGGGUUGUAAAGCUCUUUCGGCGGGGACGAAACGGUCCGUGCUAACACCACGGACUAAUGACGGUACCCGCAGAAGAAGCCCCGGCUAACUACGUGCCAGCAGCCGCGGUAAUACGUAGGGUGCAGGCGUUAAUCGGAAUUACUGGGCGUAAAGCGUGCGCAGGCGGUUUGUUAAGACAGGUGUGAAAUCCCUGGGCUUAACCUGGGAAUUGCGCUUGUAACGGGCAGGCUGGAGUGUGGCAGAGGGGGGUGGAAUUCCAAGUGUAGCAGUGAAAUGCGUAGAUAUUUGGAGGAACACCGAUGGCGAAGGCAGCCCCCUGGGUUAACACUGACGCUCAUGCACGAAAGCGUGGGGAGCAAA